rnacentral:rRNA from 1 species
GAGUUUGAUCCUGGCUCAGGAUAAACGCUGGCGGCGCACAUAAGACAUGCAAGUCGAACGGACUUAACCAUUAGUUUACUAUUGGAGCGGUUAGUGGCGGACUGGUGAGUAACACGUAAGCAACCUGCCUAUCAGAGGGGAACAACAGUUAGAAAUGACUGCUAAUACCGCAUAUGCCUUGAGUAUCGCAUGGUACAAGAGGGAAAGAAGCAAUUCGCUGAUAGAUGGGCUUGCGUCUGAUUAGAUAGUUGGUGUGGUAACGGCAUACCAAGUCUACGAUCAGUAGCCGGACUGAGAGGUUGAACGGCCACAUUGGGACUGAGAUACGGCCCAGACUCCUACGGGAGGCAGCAGUCGGGAAUAUUGCGCAAUGGAGGAAACUCUGACGCAGUGACGCCGCGUGCAGGAAGAAGGUUUUCGGAUUGUAAACUGCUUUAGACAGGGAAGAAACAAGACAGUACCUGUAGAAUAAGCUCCGGCUAACUACGUGCCAGCCGCCGCGGUAAUAC